CUUCUUUUCUUCCCCAAUUUUUUCUCUUUUUUCUUUUCGCUCCGCAGUUCAACGAAGGAGCAAUCACUCUUCUCCAUCAACUAAUCAAUUGAAGAUUACAUCAAUGAAAGAUAAGUGUAAUGCAUUCUUUUCAUUUUGAUUUGAUCGCAACUCUUGAUUUCUCGAUUUCAAAAUGAAAAAUUACGGCUCAGAAAAACCUAAAUUUUCUUAUUUCAAUUCGAAUUUCUGUUUUUAUUUAUAAUCAGAUCUCGGAUCCGCUACAAUCUGAUUAUUAUCUUCGUUUAAAUCACAAACUUUGUAAAAAAUUCAACUAAUUUGUCGCAAUUUGUUCCCUGGUUAAUCUCUGCAAUUCGAUUUGUAUCCUUAUUCUCGAUUUAAAAUGACAUUUAAGAUUUGUAAUCAGCAUGUAUUACCCUUCAAAAUAGAAGUUGUUGACCUAAUUCACAGGCUUUUUUCUUUUUUUUCUUUUUGGUAUAAUUCAAGUGAAAAUUAUACUUGUUAAUGAUGACUUGAUGGUUUCGUAUAUUAGGUUGCAUGUAUUGAUUAUUUGGGAUUUGAAUUCGAUACAUAGUUAAUUACUUAGAAGCUGCUUACUUAGGUGCAGGCUUGGAUGGUUUAUCUACGCCAAAAUGAUAUUCUGGGUGGAAAUGUUCGUUACUAUCUUAACUUGGCCCCCACUAGUAUAUACCUGAAUCAUCUCACCGAGCUUCAAGUCUUUGUAACAUAUUAAUUGAAUGCCAGACCUUUACUAUGCCAUGAAUGACUGGAAGCAUCUUCAAGUCGGAUUAUAGAUUCUGGGUUCAUGUAACAACCUUUGAGAAUUUAUUUGGAGAACUCGGUAAUAGUGAUCGACUGCAAUGGAGGGAAAAUUCCACGAUGUUUGCAAUGCCUAGAUAGCCAUGGGAAUUCAGCCACUUUGAUUUCUCGGAUGUUCUUUCUGCACCCUUAAUUGCUUCUAGAUAUGACGGUUACUUCAGAGGUCUGCAAAAGAAUAAAAGACGCUGAGCAGUCUACAGCAGAGAUUGCUAUCAAGAACGUAUAUGUUUUUUUUUUUUUUUUUUUUUUUUUUUUUUUUUUUUUUUUUUUUUUUUUUUUUUUAUGUUUUUAUUGAAUGAUUACUAUAAUCGCAAAGAUUGUUUUGUAAUUUUUUUUUCUGUUUGUGAUAUUAUGCAUCUUGGUAUCCAGACAACGAAAAAUGAUCCGACUGUAAAAGAACUAAGUGAUGAAUUAGUAAGUAAAACUGAUUUGUAGCACGAAAUCUUUUACGCCAAA